CAGAAAAUACCUCCCCCAAAAGCCUCGUUGGAGAUUUCUCAGUUUCCAUUGUUUACUUCCUGCCCCGCGUGACGUAGCUGCACCGCGUGACGUCACUUCCUCUGCCAGCCGACCAUAUUAAGUGUCGUAAAACCUGCUUCUUUUCAAAGCUCUAUCCAGUCAUGUCGCGGAGGGUCUGUUGCCUGUCUUGUGUGGAGAAAUCCACAAUGUUUGCAGUACCGAAGGCAGAACCACGACGAAGUCAGUGGUUGACAUUCCUUUUUAACACUGUUCCAGCUGAUUUACCAGCCGGUACUGUUGUGUGUGCGCGGCAUUUCACGGACCAAAGCUUUAAAAACGUAACAAUGUUUAGCUUCGGACUUGCAAAGCUGAUAUUGGAGGACGAUGCUGUUCCUACUUUGUUUGGACCAGCGGGAGAUUCGGGUACACAACCUGUUUGUCCAAGAAACUUCUGAAACUUACACAGAACAAGGACUGUGACGCAAAGUUGAAGAGGUGGCUGCGCAGCAUAAAAAACCAUGUCUACUGGAGUGCGACGAGCACAACCUCGGGCCGGAGAAGGUGGCAAGGUGGACGUCACUGGUCAACCACCUACAAAACGUUCACGUGCAUGAUGACCCCCUGUUCCCCAAGUGCACACAUCCUGUAGGAGCCGCAAGCGAUGCAAAUAAACCUUACCUAAAAGGUGGCUCAAUAACACUCGCCAGAGUUGAAACGAUACUCACCAACAAGAGAGUUCUCAAAGAUGUGCUAAAGCUAAGCCAUCACUACCAGACCUCAUCCCUGGAGUCCUUCCACAACUUAAUUCUGCGUUUUACCCCAAAAAAUGUGGUUGUCCCCUUCAUUGGAAUGUUGUGCAGUCUAUGUGGAUGAGC